UACUGGUGUGAGCACAGCUUAAACGUAACAGUGUAAAACAACAGUAAACACUUCCUUGUUUAACUCUAAGCUCUUAUGCUAUGGGUUUCUGACUUUAGUUUAUGUUUAAAUAUACUGCAGGUCCUGAAUUCUGGAAUUUGUGUGCAGCAGAGAGGGCAUCCCGGGGACAAGGGCCGUUCUCCAGAAAACCCAGCGAGACAUUUCACUGCACGAGGGUCCCAUCUUCAUCCUGCUUCCCGAAGUUAUUCCUAAACCUGCUCAAUGGGGGUGCCGAGGCGAGAGGAUCCCUACUACCUGAAAAUCUACUAAACAAUUUUGGUCACCAAUUUCUACUUUACUAGAGCAUCCAGAGACGCAAUGAGCAGGUCUGGCAUGAGUUGCCUGUAUAUCUCCAGGCACAGAACUUUGAUUAGGGCAUACACCAACCUCUGAGGCUACAGCCAAAGGAAAUCAUGAUUCUGUUGACAAAAGAAGAAGAUAGGAACCCUGGAAGGCCCCAGGCAUUUACAAAGAUAACCCUCAUCGCCUCCUCAGAUUGUUCAGGAUAAAGGAAACAGCAUGUCUAAAGUAUAUUUUAUUUCACCAGUUUACAGCACCAGAGAAUCCACCUGUGGGGCAGAAGAAAAGUGGAGACACCAAAAUCCAGGACUUAGAGAGCAAUAACCAGUCCGUACUCCAACUACAGAUCAAUAAAGGUGACCUGACCAACACGCUC